CCUACGGGAGGCAGCAGUGGGGAAUUUUCCGCAAUGGGCGAAAGCCUGACGGAGCAAUACCGCGUGAGGGAUGAAGGCUCUUGGGUCGUAAACCUCUUUUCUCAAGGAAGAUAAUGACGGUACUUGAGGAAUCAGCAUCGGCUAACUCCGUGCCAGCAGCCGCGGUAAUACGGAGGAUGCAAGCGUUAUCCGGAAUGAUUGGGCGUAAAGCGUCCGCAGGUGGUUUUGUAAGUCUGCUGUUAAAGCGUCAUGCUCAACAUGAUUAAGGCGGUGGAAACUACAAGACUAGAGUGCGUUAGGGGUGAAGGGAAUUCCUGGUGUAGCGGUGAAAUGCGUAGAGAUCAGGAAGAACACCGGUGGCGAAGGCGCUUCACUAUGCCGCAACUGACACUGAGGGACGAAAGCUAGGGGAGCGAAUGGGAUUAGAUACCCCAGUAGUCCUAGCCGUAAACGAUGGACACUAGGUGUUGCUUGUAUCGACCCGAGCAGUGCCGUAGCCAACGCGUUAAGUGUCCCGCCUGGGGAGUACGCACGCAAGUGUGAAACUCAAAGGAAUUGACGGCUGAGAGNGCGAGCGACACGAGGGAGAGG
rnacentral:rRNA from 1 species